UACAGAGGUCUCAAGCGUUGUUCGGAUUCAUUGGGCGUAAAGGGUGCGUAGGCGGCGCGGUAAGUCGGGUGUGAAAUUUCGGAGCUUAACUCCGAAACUGCAUUCGAUACUGCGGUGCUUGAGGACUGGAGAGGAGACUGGAAUUCAUGGUGUAGCAGUGAAAUGCGUAGAGAUCAUGAGGAAGACCAGUGGCGAAGGCGGGUCUCUGGACAGUUCCUGACGCUGAGGCACGAAGGUCAGGGGAGCAAACGGG
rnacentral:rRNA from 1 species